AUGUUUGUUUUUUCUCUCUCUCCGACCCUCAGGAUUCACCCCAGCCUCCUCCACCCCGGCAACCUCCCACACGGCAGAGCCAGCCGGGGUCAAGGUCAAGGUCAAGGACACGGGCUAGGACACGGGAGCGGCUUGAUCUCUGCAUCAUCGUCUGUGAGCAGCAUACAUCAGGCCCAGCCGUCGCUACGCAAGAUCAAAGGGCGUAUCCACAGGAGCAAGAGCCUGGACAGCAUCGAUCUGCUGGACUCCAACCUGAUCUCGGGUGUCAUCAUUAGUCCAACAGUUGCAAACGAGAGUUUCCAUUGGACAAAUUCAGGUAUGUUUAUCCCUGUUUAAUUCCGUUUAAAAAAAAGGUUUUUCAACAGAUUCGGCGGAAUGAAUAUGCCUCUGAUCGCACGUAAAUACGGUUCACUUUCAUAGCAGCCACGUUGUAUUCCUUCUCCCAUCUAUGCGCUCUCCUCCUCUCACCUUUUCCCUUUGCUUGUGGACUUCAAUGCACCACACAUCAGCUGUAUGCGACCAGACGAUAAAAAACCUAUCAUAACCGCUACACACAGCCUGCAUCAUUGUCACCAUAUUAGCUAAAGUAACGUCCUAGUCAACAUAACUAAUAUAACUAACACGCUAGUAAACCCUGCAGUAACGUUAGUGUAUAGUCAGUAAGCAGUUACACCAGCUAGCCAACAUAGCAUCCCUCUGUUAUAUACAGCUAGCUAACAUAGCAUCCCUCUGUUAUAGCCAGCUAGCUAACAUAGCAUCCCUCUGUUAUAGACAGCUAGCUAACAUAGCAUCCCUCUGUUAUAGCCAGCUAGCUAACAUAGCAUCCCUCUGUUAUAGCCAGCUAGCUAACAUAGCAUCCCUCUGUUAUAGCCAGCUAGCUAACAUAGCAUCCCUCUGUUUGAGCAGGGUGUUUGAGUAAGCUAAACUAACUAGCUGCAUUUGCUAGCUAAGUAAGUGAAAUUGCUUUUCCUUAAUUUGAGAAAGCCAUUUAUUUGUUCAAAACGGUUAAACUAUUGUCUUUCUCUCUCUUUGAGUCAACUACUCACCACAUCUGAUGCAAUGCAGUUUAUUCAUUCUCGGAUCCUUUUGAUUGGGUGGAAAACAUGUCAGUUUGUGCUGCAAGAGCUCUGAUAGGUUAGAGGAUGUCCUCCGGAAGUUGUCAUAAUUACUGUGUAAGUCUAUGGAAGGGGGUGAGAACCAUGAGCCUCCUAGGUUUUGUAUUGAAGUGCAAUGUACCCAGAGGAGGACAGAAGCAAGUAGUCCUCCAGCUACACCAUGGUGCUAUGCUACAGAGUGCUGUUGAGGCUACUGUAGACCUUCAUUGAAAAAAAGUGUUUUAAUCAAUUAUUUGGUGACUUGAAAAUAUUUAGUAGUUUCAUUUAAAAAGGAUAACGUUUUAAAUGUUUAACAUUAUUCACGGAUGAGGAUGGUCCUCCCCUUCCUCUGAGGAGGAGCCUCCACUGGUGUGCAUGUGUGUGUGUACAUUGCACAAGACAGAGAGGGAAAUGGAAACUUGCUGACUAGC
rnacentral:lncRNA from 13 species